rnacentral:rRNA from 1 species
AUUGAACGCUGGCGGCAUGCCUUACACAUGCAAGUCGAACGGCAGCACGGACUUUGGUCUGGUGGCGAGUGGCGAACGGGUGAGUAAUGUAUCGGAACGUACCUUUCAGUGGGGGAUAACGUAGCGAAAGUUACGCUAAUACCGCAUAUUCUGUGAGCAGGAAAGCAGGGGAUCGCAAGACCUUGCGCUGAUUGAGCGGCCGAUAUCAGAUUAGCUAGUUGGUGAGGUAAAGGCUCCCCAAGGCGACGAUCUGUAGCGGGUCUGGGAGGAUGAUCCGCCACACUGGAGCUGAGACACGGUCCAGACUCCUACGGGAGGCAGAAGUGGGGAAUUUUGGACAAUGGGGGCAACCCUGAUCCAGCCAUGCCGCGUGAGUGAAGAAGGCCUUCGGGUUGUAAAGCUCUUUCGGCCGGGAAGAAAUCGCAUAGGUUAAUACCCUGUGUGGAUGACGGUACCGGAAUAAGAAGCACCGGCUAACUACGUGCCAGCCGCCGCCGUAAGAC